CACACACACACACACACACACGCUUAUGUUUUAGCUUCCAAUUUUAUAUUAAGUUUUUUUGGCCCCUCUUGUUAUUAUUGUGGAUUUUAUGAUAACUGAACAGUCGAAUUUUUGGUUCUAAUGUUGAUCGAAUUAUAAUGCGGUUUCAUUUUGAUGGGGAUCAAUUUAUAUUUUUAAAGAGACCUAUAGAAGAAGAAAUGGGCAAUUACCAAUCCGAAGCAUCAAGGGUCAUUUUUAGCCUGGAUAAUCUGUUUGUGUGAUUUUGAGUUUCGAAAUUUCUUGAAAUGAUUGCUGCAUUUCUUAGUUGUGUUUGUUCUAGUGACUGAAAUAAUCUAGCCUUCUUUGCUUUAAGAUGGAGAAACUUCAUAUCUUGCCUUCCCUGCUUAAUCAUCUGCAAUUAGGUGUGGUGGAUGGUUUUUGUUGGAUUUCUUUCAUUAUUGGGUUUUGCCAGAAAUGAUUCAAUUUGUUUACAAUUUUUAUUUUCGUACCUUCUGUUUUUCGAAGAAGGAUUUUGGGAGUGGGGGUAGGGUUGUAAUUGUGCUGGGAUUGUUGUUGUGCUAUAAUGAAUUUAUGUGAUGGAUAUUUUCAUUCAUUUCUAGACGGCAGACAUGAAAUGCUUUUUCUGCUCAAUUGAUGACUUGGUUUCCUUUGCAAUGUAUCUGAUUUGAUUAUGUAGGUCUCAUAUAUCUAGUGUUCUUUCUUAUCACUGCCACAGAUGGUAUCCAGGAGAAAUUAUUUCCUCCUUUCAAAUAAGUACCCUUUUCUGUCAGAAAAUUGUUCGGUCACAAUAGUCAAUAAUGGUGAUUGGUGAAUCUUUGCGUUGUUAUGUGAAUUAUUCUAGUAUUUAUUCUCUUAUUUUUCAUUUGUUUUUUUCAUGUGAUUGCUUUGUUAUUCUCCACUUUAUGCCCGUUGUCCUUAUUAUUCUGGCCCUUUUUUGUUGUUUUUCUAGGUACAUUUAGUACUACGUAAGGUAUGUAGUCAUUUUAUCUGAUCCAGUCUUUUUUAUAUUUAUUGCUUAUCAGAAACAAGGUCCAGAUAGUAACAGCUGGUGCCAUUCCCCCACUUGUGGAACUUCUUAAGUUCCAAAAUGAUAGUUUAAGGGAAUUAGCCGCUGCUGCAAUUUUAACACUCUCAGCUGCUGAACCUAAUAAGCCAAUCAUUGCAGCUUCAGGAGCUGCGCCUCUUCUGGUUCAGAUUCUGAACUCUGGGAGUGUACAAGGAAAAGUUGAUGCUGUGACAGCACUACACAACCUCUCAUCCUGCCCCAAGAAUUCUCAUCCAAUUGUGGAUGCUAAAGCAGUUG
rnacentral:misc_RNA from 1 species